rnacentral:rRNA from 1 species
UACGUAGGGGGCAAGCGUUGUCCGGAAUCAUUGGGCGUAAAGAGCUCGUAGGCGGCUUGUUGCGUCGGCUGUGAAAACCCAUGGCUCAACCGUGGGCUUGCAGCCGAUACGGGCAGGCUAGAGUUCGGUAGGGGAGACUGGAAUUCCUGGUGUAGCGGUGAAAUGCGCAGAUAUCAGGAGGAACACCGGUGGCGAAGGCGGCAUCCUGGACCGGCAUUGACGCUGAGGAGCGAAAGCCAGGGGAGCAAACGGG